rnacentral:sRNA from 1 species
UGAACCUGCGGAGGGAUCAUUAAAAUAGGCCGAUAAGAAGGCACUCUCCCCUCGGGGAGAGGGCGGGCCGUAUCCCACACCCUUUGUGAACCACAACUCUGUUGCUUCGGGGGCGACCCUGCCGUCAGGCGGCGGUGCCCCCGGUGGCCUUCAACUAAACUCUGCAUCUUUUGCGUCGGAGUCUUUUAAAGAAUUAAACAAAACUUUCAACAACGGAUCUCUUGGUUCUGGCAUCGAUGAAGAACGCAGCGAAAUGCGAUAAGUAAUGUGAAUUGCAGAAUUCAGUGAAUCAUCGAAUCUUUGAACGCACAUUGCGCCCCGUGGUAUUCCGCGGGGCAUGCCUGUUCGAGCGUCAUUUCACCACUCAAGCCUAGCUUGGUAUUGGGCGCCGCGGCGAUCUCCAUCGCUGCGCGCCUUAAAGUCUCCGGCUGAGCAGUCUGUCUCCGAGCGUUGUGACACAUGUCGCUAGGGAGUGCAGGUCUGCCGCGGCCGUUAAAUCUUUAUUC